ensembl:lncRNA
GGAACAUGGAACAUCCUGGUGGCGCCGUGUGUUAUUUGGUGAUCGCUCUAGUUAGGGCUAUAUCACACUAUACUACAAGGUGACCCGUACAGGAUGAGAAUAUCAUGAAACUAUUUGUUUCAUCUUAAUAUAUCGUCGUUUGAAAUGGUAAGCUUAAUGCUCACUUGUAGAUUCGAAACUGCUAGUAACGUAUAGAUUCCAAACUGCUACUACCCAGCUAUGCUAACUCUUACUUGGCUGCGCGGUGAUUUGAAAUGUGAAAUCCGCUGUGAUUGCCUUGUCGGCAAAUCUAACAGUUUUCAAUUAUGCAUUUAAUAAAUUAAUUGAAUUUCCAUAGUAACAAGAGAAUUUGCUACAUGGUGAGUUUACCCUAGAAUUGCCCUGUUUUAGAGAGGGCCCACGUGUUUGCCAUGCGGUGAAACAUUAGCCAGAUUCCAUUUGACCAAUCUAUAACGGUAGUAGUUUGCAGGCUAGGUAUGUAGCAGUUCGUAAUGUGUGUUAAAGGAUGACAGCACAAGACUAUAUAGUCUCUGAUACAGCAUGAUGGUCUUUCACAGUGCACUGAAAACGCAUGUUUAUACACCAACGAUUAUCACUGUAAUGUCACUUAUGAACGGUCAUCAGUGUUUCAACCUUCUUUCAGCAGUCUGCCGGGUAUGGAGGCUCUUGUGACUAUGGGCUCAAGCAAACCUUGGCAAAUUUUGUGCCCCCCUUAUCACCAGGCCUUCCACACACUCAACUGGUAAAGCCCAGUUACUGGACCUGGAGACCGGAUGUCUGUCUUUACAGUGGCUUGCAGGAGGGCAAGGUUCUUUCAUUUAAAGAUUGACUUGGAUGGAAUCAUGGUCUGUCUACAACCAAGCUAAAAGCUCCAGGUGUGAAGUUAUGAGGUGUUCCUGUACCUGGAAUGUGAUGUCGGUCUUUACUUGCAGGAGGGGAAGGUCCUUUCAUUUCAAGAUUGACUUGGAUGGAAUCAUGGUCUGUCUACGAUCAAGCUAGAUGCUCCAGGUGUGAAGUCAUGAGGUAUGUAAGGUGUUCAUUUUUUCCCAAAAGGGUGGCUAACAAUAUUUGUUGUCUAUGAUGAUUGCGUUAUUUGGUUCAACUGAAUGUUGGUGAAGUCUACUCGCAGCGCUCUGAGAAGCUGCUAAUGGAUUAAUUGAAUAACCAUACCGUCACCUGUGUUAAUUAUUAUGUGCGUUUCCUACCAGGUGUUCCUGUACCUGGAAUGUGAUGUCGGUCUUUACAGGGGCUUGCAGGAGGGGAAGGUCCUUUCAUUUCAAGGUGUGUGAUUUGUGCCAUGACCACCACCUCUCUAGUGUGUUAUGAUGAUUUUUGCAGACUAGAGUCUCUGACUACCAUUGAUGUCUACACACUGCACUGAACACAAUUCAGUCUAAAAACAUUUCUAAAAUUUGAGUAAAAAGAAAAAUAUGUAAUAUUGUGCAUCUCUUAUGGUUUAGAUUGACUUGGAUGGAAUCAUGGUCUGUCUACGAUCCAAGCUAGAAGCUCCAGUUGUGAAGUCAUGAGGUACGUAAGGAGUUUUUUCUUUUUUUUCCCCAAAAGGGUGGGGAACAGUAUUUGUUGUCUAUGAUGAUUGCGUUAAUUGGUUCAACUGAAUGUUUGUGAAGUCUACUCGCAGCGCUCUGAGAUGCUGCUUAUGGGUUCAUUGAAUAACCAUGCCGUCACCUGUGUUAAUUCUUUUGUGUUUGUUUUCUACCAGGUGUUCCUGUAACUGAUGUCUGUCUUUACAGUGGCUUGCAGGAGGGGAAGGUCCUUUCAUUUUCAAGGUGUGUGAUUUGUGCCAUGACCUACUACCUCUCUAGUGUGUGAUGAUGAUUUUUGCAGACUAGAGUCUCUGACUACCGUUGAUGUCUACACACUGCACUGAACACAAUUCAGUCUAAAAUGUUUCUCAAUUUUUAGUUAAAAUAAAAAAUUAAAAUAUAUUGGUCUCUUAUGGUGUAGAUUGACUUGGAUGGAAUCAUGGUCAGUCUACGAUCAAGCUAGAAGCUCCAGUUGUGAAGUCAUGAGGUACGUAAGGAGUUCAUUUUUUCCCCCAAAAGGGUGGGGAACAGUAUUUGUUGUCUAUGAUGAUUGCGUUAAUUUGGUUCAACUGAAUGUUUGUGAAGUCUACUCGCAGCGCUCUGAGAUGCUGCUUAUGGGUUAAUUGAAUAACCAUGCCAUCACCUGUGCUAAAAAAUGUUUUGUGUUUCCUACCAGGUGUUGCUGUUAUGAAGAUCUACAUUAACUGCACUGGGACCCAACAACCUCCAAGACUCAUAAAUUCG